rnacentral:tRNA from 1 species
AGGGGCGUAGUUAAACGGUAUAAUAGAGGUCUCCAAAACCUUUGUUAGAGGUCCGACUCCUCUCGCCCCUG